GGGAGGUGAACGUGCAGCAGUUGCAGUUUAUUGGAGAAGUCAGAGGAGAGGAGUGGACAAUGUGAACCUGGCUCCCUUCCUGCACUCUGGGAGCCUGAGCCACAGCAGCGCCCCAGGUGAGGCUCUUCAGCAACCAGGAGGCCCCAGGACGCAUGGGCCAGGAGUGGACAUGGUGGAGUCCUCUUCCCAUCGCUGUCUCUACCCUGUUUUUCCCCUGGUAUACAGACCCUAUCCCCUUGCUACCUCUUAGCUAUUUCAACCCUUGUACCUUGUAUCAUGUGAUGUAUUCCAUUAACAAGAAGGCAAAUUGAAAAUAUUUUUUCCAGCAUUAAAAAGAAAAGAAGAGGGCUGGGGUUGUGGUUCAGUGGUAAGUGCGUGCCUCGAAUGCCUGAGGCACUGGGUUCGAUCCUCAGCACCAUAUUUAAAAAAAAAUAGAUAAAAUAAAGAUAUUGUGUCC
rnacentral:lncRNA from 1 species